rnacentral:lncRNA from 1 species
CCGGCGCUACCAGAAGUCGACCGAGCUGCUGAUCCGCAAGCUGCCGUUCCAGCGCCUGGUGCGCGAGAUCGCGCAGGACUUCAAGACGGACCUGCGCUUCCAGAGCUCGGCCGUCAUGGCGCUGCAGGAGGCGAGCGAGGCCUACCUGGUGGGUCUGUUCGAGGACACCAACCUGUGCGCCAUCCACGCCAAGCGCGUCACCAUCAUGCCCAAGGACAUCCAGUUGGCCCGUCGCAUCCGCGGGGAGCGCGCUUGAGCUCUCUAUCUUCUCCCCGUCCCCCACAAAGGCUCUUUUCAGAGCCACUACACCUUCCCGGAAAGAGCUGUUUACAACUCUUGCUCGGAUUUUUUUCGCCCCUUGAGCGGGUUAGCCAGUGUAAAAACCUGUUUGCCUUAUAGUGUUAUAACACUGGUAGAGCUAGCUGCAUAAUGGAUGCUUCCAAGGGAGGUUUGCGGAGCUUAGUUUAGGGUAGUUUUUUGGAAGUUUGUUGCAGUCCUAUUCCUAGACCCCUGGUGCACCCAGCAGCUCAGUCUAAGCGCAUGGUUUGUCACAUGGUGGAUACUAUGUAACUCUGGCCCAGAGGGGGCCUGGAAAUAACUGACCGCUCAUAAUUACCUCACUAAACUAGAGGGCUGUAGUGUAAUUGUUGCUCCCUUUUCUGAUGGGUAGUGUCCGGGAGCUGACUGCUCAUAAUCGGUAAGUGGACUAUUCUGAGUCAUACCCAGUGACACUCCUUCCUCUAACACUUGACUAGAAGACCUAACUACUAUAAUACAUUCAGACCUGCUAGUAAUAAAUUCAGCAUUUAUUACUAUCA